rnacentral:SRP_RNA from 1 species
GCCGGGCACGGUGGCUCAAGCCUGUAAUCCCAGCACUUUGGGAGGCCGAGACGGGCGGAUCACGAGGUCAGGAGAUCGAGACCAUCCUGGCUAACACGGUGAANUUCACCGUGUUAGCCAGGAUGGUCUCGAUCUCCUGACCUCGUGAUCCGCCCGUCUCGG